rnacentral:misc_RNA from 1 species
UACUGAUACACUACUCUUCUAGGUAGCUUUGGAAAAAUGAUAAAGGUGUUAUUUUCCGGCUCUGGAUCCCCCCUUUUUUGUGCUUUCUGCUGCUUCUAUUUAUAUUCAGUGCCUGGGGUUAGGUUUUCAGAGUCCCAGCAGCAUUAGAAGUCUCUUCUCUCUGUUAAAAACUAGAGUUAGAGCUAAAUUAGGAAACUGGCUGUUGGCUGAUACACAGCCCGGGGCCGUGUAAUUCACUGGAGCUUCGAAGACUGCAUCUCAUAUUGGCACAGGAGA